AUUGAACGCUGGCGGUAUGCUUUACACAUGCAAGUCGAACGGCAGCACGGGGGCAACCCUGGUGGCGAGUGGCGGACGGGUGAGUAAUACAUCGGUACGUGCCCGGUCGUGGGGGAUAACGUAGCGACAGUGACGCUCAUACCGCAUACGCUCUGAGGAUGAAAGCGGGGGACCUUCGGACCUCGCGCGAUCGGAGCGGCCGAUGUCAGAUUAGGUAGUUGGUGGGGUAAAGGCCUACCAAGCCGACGAUCUGUAGCUGGGCUGAGAGGACGACCAGCCACACUGGGACUGAGACACGGCCCAGACUCCUACGGGAGGCAGCAGUGGGGAAUUUUGGACAAUGGGCGCAAGCCUGAUCCAGCCAUACCGCGUGCAGGACGAAGGCCUUCGGGUUGUAAACCGCUUUUGUAUGGAACGAAAAGGAUCUGGCUAAUACCUGGGGCUCAUGACGGUACCGUAAGAAUAAGCACCGGCUAACUACGUG
rnacentral:rRNA from 1 species